AUUUGAUCUGAUUCCAUGAAGUAUUAUUUUGUGAUCAUUAUAAGGUAACUAAUAAAAAGUAUUCAAAUGUGCUAACCUGCAACGCAGUGAGUGUGUUACUUCACUGCGUUGGCUGUAGCUCAGGUGGUAGAGCGGGUCACCUACCUCCAGUCUACAUGCCAAAUAUCCUUGGGCAAGAUACUAACCCCAUGUUUGCCUACUGGUGGUGGUCAGAGGGCCCGGUGGCACCAGUGUCAGGCAGUCUCGCCUCUGUCAGUGCGCCCCAGGGCAGCUGUGACUACAAUGUAACUUGACGUCACCAGUGUUUGAAUGAGUGGAUGAUUGAAUGUAGUGUAAAGCGCUUUGGGGUCCUUAAGGACUAAGUAAAGUGCUAUACAAAUACAGGCCAUUUAGCAUUAAAACAUGUACAAACUAAAAUGUAUCGUCUUCCUUGUUGUUGUAAGGUAAUAUUGAGCUUUUGGCUCAAUGAUAUUUUUAGCUUUUCAGGUUAAUUUCUCAUAUUUAAUUGUGCCAUAAAUGAUUAUGUUUAAGUUUUCUGUUCAUUCAAAAUAACAAACUACUGUCCUCUACUGUUCUCAGAGAGUCACCUAUAAACUGUACAUGCAUGACUUUUCACACACCGUGUGUGUGUGUGUGUGUGUGUGUGUGUCUGUCUGUCUGUCUGUUUGGAAAGAAAAGCCUUCAAACACUGUUAUUAUUAUAACAUGAACACAUACAAAUAAAAAAAACCCUUUUCCCUCUGGUGGACAAACUCUGUAACUACAACAUGUUUCUAAAAGGCUUCAAGCCUACUUUGAUAUUUUUGCAGUUCCUCAUUAUGUCUGUUUGGAGAUGUUGUAAUGAGUGAAUGAAGUCAGACUGUAGAUUUUCUUUCUUCUAGCUGUACUGACUGACCUUUGACCUCAUGUGUUGAUGACUCUUCACCUCUGUCUCCUCUCACAGGAGAAGAUGAUCUGCAGGAUCCUGCUGCUCAUCAUCUUCACCUCAUGUGUCUCUGGAUCAUUUGUAGUCAAUGUGACACAGACCUCCUAUCAGGCAGAGGAGAACCACAACAAAAGGAAUCUUACAAAAUGA
rnacentral:lncRNA from 1 species